UUUUGUGGUACCCCCAAAUAAAUAUCAGCCCUCCAUUUUUGUCCAUCCAAAGGCCUAAAAAAAAUCAUACUUCUCCUCAAAACGUGAGAGGUAUGUAUCAUACCGGUGCUAAAUUUUGCAGCAAACAAGAAAAAGGCCUGCCGCGCCACGGCCUAUUAGACGGACAUGACCCGAAACACGGCCCAGGCCCAGGUGCAGACGGUAGCUGGUGGGGAAGGGGACCGGACGGCAUAACCCUCGUUCCACCGCGAACUCGCUGCGUGGGUGCCGCCGCCGAUCCACAACUCCGGCGAAACCGCCGCCUCGCAUCCUACCACCGGCGUGUAAGCCGAGAUCUCCUCCUACAUCCCCUCCACCAACUAUUCCGAACAACAUCCUGUCAUGGCCGCGGUGCGCCCUUCGCCUCACGCCGUCCUCUUUGAUCGCCAAGACGGCUGAUGUCUUCACGGUGGUCCGGGAGAGGUGCCUGGCUUUCAUCGCGUCGCAGGCUCGCAGCGCCCGUGGCGGCUCGGCGGUGGCGCAGGAAAUUGGAAGAUGCCGACAAAGUGGUGCUGGUAGGCGAAAUGGCCGGCGCGUGAUUCGGUGGUAGGUUCAUCUUCAGGCUUCAGCGACGACAAGCACGGCCGAGCCACCAAUGACAAAUUCACUCUGGUACUGGUUUUCAGAGUAUGGUUUAACUGUUUAUAUCAUGUCAGGGAGUAUAUACUGUGAGCAUAUUGGAAGGGAGCAUACAAGCAAUCAUGAACACCUUGCUAUCUAUAUUGGCUUUGAGUUAUUCUCUUAAAAAUCUCAGUUAACUUAUCUUGUUUGGGAUAAAAUGAUGCAUUGGAUGUUGUAACUGUUGUUCUUGGCAAUUUUGACUUAUCUACUAGACUACUACUGUUAGAUGGGCAUUGCAUUCAUCUUGAAAGGCCGUUUUAGGGAUCAUAUCUGAUGGAGAAUUUAAGAUUUCCUUUAGCAAGCAAAUAUUUCUGACCAUAGCAGUGCAGACACGGAAAUCUGUAAUGCCAUUGUUCCUAAAAUGUUCAGAAUCUAGGGCCAUAGAUAGCUAUGAUCAAUUCUCACUAUCAAUUAGGUUGCUAUGCAAGGGUAACUUGAGAUCCUUGGAGAAGAUGUUUGCUAGUUCAGCGCGGUUUAUGAAUCAUGAAAUCAUCAUCCUUUAGUAUUUCUCAUAUAUUACUGUAGAAAGAAUAUAAGAGCCAAAUUGCUGAAGGAACUUUUGGUUUGCUACCGUUUCUGUUUAAUUUCUGGCAUCUUGGUUAACAUAUUGUGUUGGUUCAGGCGUUGUCUCCGCAAGGGAAGGGUGGAGGAACGAAUAUGUGAAGUGGUAAGCUCUCCCUUCCUGGGUGGAACUGAAGCAAUGUUUAAGAGGCUCCAGAAUUCAUUGUUCCGGUGGGUCUUUGGAGCAGCAAUGCGACCUUCGGCGUAGGCCGGCGACGGCGGAAGUGACAAGCCUACCAUACCACUUCUUCGUCCGAUUAGACUCGGACGAAACCUGCACGCGUGUGGUGAACUUCUACCGGGCAGUGCGCCGUUGCCUCGCUGGCUCCAAGCUCCCCUACGCACAAGCGCACACAGGAGUACAAUCUCAUUCUACAUGUGAAGGAGGUCAUCGACCGCGGCCCUUUGGUGAUGGAGGGCACUGAUUUCUACCCUGAUGAUGAUGAAGACCUAAGCCGCAAGCACAAAGUUUAAGACCUGGCGUGGCAAGAUCGACGGCAGAGGUCUUGGUCAUCAUGACGAGGCAUGAUCGGAAUUUGCUAUGAUCCUUGUCCCCAGCGUUUACUUCAGUUUAUAAUGUUUCGCCUAGCUGUUUUUUUAUUGAGUCGUACUACCCAUGUUUAAGUCAGAUUAUAAUGUUUUGGACCACCUGUGUUUAAUCGAGUUUGGUACAACCAUUGUUUACUUCA